rnacentral:rRNA from 1 species
UACACUCCUACGGGAGGCAGCAGUGGGGAAUUUUGGACAAUGGGCGAAAGCCUGAUCCAGCAAUGCCGCGUGAGUGAAGAAGGCCUUCGGGUUGUAAAGCUCUUUUGUCAGGGAAGAAACGGUGAAAGCUAAUAUCUUUUGCUAAUGACGGUACCUGAAGAAUAAGCACCGGCUAACUACGUGCCAGCAGCCGCGGUAAUACGUAGGGUGCAAGCGUUAAUCGGAAUUACUGGGCGUAAAGCGUGCGCAGGCGGUUUUGUAAGUCUGAUGUGAAAUCCCCGGGCUCAACCUGGGAAUUGCAUUGGAGACUGCAAGGCUAGAAUCUGGCAGAGGGGGGUAGAAUUCCACGUGUAGCAGUGAAAUGCGUAGAUAUGUGGAGGAACACCGAUGGCGAAGGCAGCCCCCUGGGUCAAGAUUGACGCUCAUGCACGAAAGCGUGGGGAGCAAACAGGAUUAGAUACCCGUGUAGUCCCAUGAU